AACGAACGCUGGCGGCAUGCCUAAUACAUGCAAGUCGAACGAGAUCUUCGGAUCUAGUGGCGCACGGGUGCGUAACGCGUGGGAAUCUGCCCUUUGGUUCGGAAUAACUUUUGGAAACGGAAGCUAAUACCGGAUGAUGACGUAAGUCCAAAGAUUUAUCGCCAGAGGAUGAGCCCGCGUAGGAUUAGCUAGUUGGUGAGGUAAAGGCGCACCAAGGCUACGAUCCUUAGCUGGUCUGAGGGGAUGAUCAGCCACACUGGGACUGAGACACGGCCCAGACUCCUACGGGAGGCAGCAGUAGGGAAUAUUGGACAAUGGGCGCAAGCCUGAUCCAGCAAUGCCGCGUGAGCGAUGAAGGCCUUAGGGUUGUAAAGCUCUUUUACCCGGGAUGAUAAUGACAGUACCGGGAGAAUAAGCCCCGGCUAACUCCGUGCCAGCCGCCGCAGUAA
rnacentral:rRNA from 1 species